GUGGUCCAGCUCCGCCUGGAGCCGCUCCCGCUCCGAGACCAUCUUCUGUUUCUGACUCCGAAGCUCCUGAGGAGAAGAUGUAUAUCAGAACCCAUUGGUACAUACACCAGGGAAAACCACUGUCUCCGCACGACUCAAGCAGCCCCUGACUAGCAAGGCUCCAGUGUGGACCAGACUUGCUGAUCACCCCGCCCCACAAAUCCCUACCUUCUAUGUGUUCCUGGUAAGCUUCAAAGAUUGCCUCAAUCCCUUGCCACUGGCGCCUGGGGGCUUCCUCCGCUUCCUCAUCACUGUCAUCUUCAACAUCGUCCUCAGAGUCCUGGUCCACCUCCUGCAUAGGGAGGCCCUUCCUCCCAGCUGGGGGCUCCUGCUGUCCAUUGUGCUGGGGCAGGGGGAGCCGGCUGGAGGACUGCAGCUCGGGAAUGUUGUAGUGGACUGCCGUGUCGACCUUGUGGUUCUGCUCUGCAGACAGCACAGCUGAGCUCCCUGGGGAGGAGCAAACAAGGAUCUUGAGGGGCAGGGGCUCAACUGAAAGUCACCCAUGGAGACAAGCACGUGUCAGAGCUCUGAUCUAUAAGUCUGUGAGCACAGCCUCCUUUGAGAGGGCAGAGGUGUUCCCUGAGGAGGACCAGGGAUUGUUCCUCCAACAGGAGGUGGCGCAGCCCUGCUGGUGGCCUCACCCCUUAGAUGCCACUUCAGAGAGCCCAUCCAGCAUUAAGAGCAGGGAGCAAUCUGCUGCCUCUGGCCAAAGCACAACUCCCCAGUAAAACCACAAAGACCCAGUUAGCACAUCUCUCCUGGGGGCCUUUCCUCACAGGCGAGGUGACAUGAGGUCAGAGGUCAGCACUGGUUUUCUGCCUCUCUUGCUCUCCUGUCUUAUUUAAUCUGACUGGCCAGCAAGCUUCAGGAAUGCUGUCUCUGCCUCCAGUCAGCCACCUGAGCUCUUGCCUUUGCUCCCUGGGCCCCAGCAGCAGAGUCAGCUCAGUGAGGGGCACUGAGCUCAGUGUGAGCUUCCUAGCUUGGUGUGGAACCCUUCAACAGGACUGGGCAUGGUGACUCAGUUCUCCCUGUUGGGUUUGCAAACACUUCACCUGGGGGAACAAGCAGGGAAACUACCGUCCCUACAAUCACCGGGCCCUGGGGGGUGGGCACACAGUACCUGGGCAAAGAACCAGAGCGAGAUCUCCAGGAGCUUAUGUGGGUGCUGGGAAUGCCCUGCUGACACGCAGAGGACACUUGCUUUGGCCUUUCUGAACUGUCAUUUGCUAACUAAGGUGUGUGGGUCUUGAGCAGGUACAUUAGGUCCUGCUACAAGCCUGAAAGAGAUCGAGGCUACCCUCCUCCACUCCCCAUGCCCAGUGAGACCUCUAAGUGCUUCACAGGCGUUAAGGCUUGGGAGGUACUGUUGGUAUGAAAAUGGCUGUGUCGCCCAGCACUAACAGGCGACGGGACGGGUAGCCUGUUACCUUUAUGCUUCUGCAGCGCCUUCUGUGUGGACUGCAGUACGGACUCGUGGAACUGGUGUGCAAACUCUUCUGCCAUGAAGGGCUCCCAAGGCUUGCUCUUCCCGUUGAUGCUGUGGGACAACGGCACAGGAAUGUCCUUGGGCGCAGCGCCCCGGAGAUAAUGAAGCAUGCUCAGGCUCUUCUUGCCCCCGGGGGCCUCACUCAGCCUGGCCUUCUCACCGCUGCUAGGAGCUGGCUCCUGGACUCUCAAGAGCUCCUGGGGCCGGAGCUGUUCCAGUCUCCCAGUCUCCGCGGCCUUUGGGACGUCUGACGCGGAGGCAGGGACCCCGGCAGGCUGAUCGGUUUCCAGAGGAGCUGGCUGUGUGGCUGGUUCUUUGAGAGACAGAAAUGAGGAAAACAUUAUAAGCUGUGGAAAGACAGGCACAAGGAGCUCAUACUCGCAGAAAGACCCGGCGUGUCCACCCUAUGUAAACGCUGUGCACGAGCUAGAGCCUCAAGAGUAGCGUGUUUAGCAGCGAGUCCAACUGUGAGCAGUUCCCAAGGGACAGGUGGGAGAGCAGCAGGAAGUGCCGAGAAGGUGAGAGUAACUUCAUCCAACUUAGGAGAGCAGAUGAAGAGACAGCAAGAGGGACCCCUGGCUUCAGCUUUCUUCAGCUGGAGAGCAGCAGAGAAGAGCGAGAGCAGGUGCUGGAGUCUGGAGAGCCAGGCGGGAUCUGCAGCGCGGUGUCCUCUGGGGACAGCACGCCCUCUGGGGGACGGCAGCUACCGCCACCACCAUCUGGACUUCAUGCCUGCCUUCUAAUUUGCAUUGCGUCCUAAGGCCCUGCUCAACCAGGAUGGCGGCAGACCACACAAGAGGGAUGGAGAGAAGCCCAGCUUCCAGUAGGUCAGGUUCACCACGAAGAUGAGACUUUGAAUGCCACUUCUAACCCUGUGUGGCCCAAGCUACAGGACGCUGGAGGGCAAGGUGCCCUUGCCUUACCACUCAGGGAGAUGGUAGGACUGUCCCUCGCAGAGUUUGUCACUGAAUCUGCCACUGCUGCGGACAGUGCCCUCUGCUUCAUUGCACGGAGCAUCUCAACAAGCCUCUCUUUGUCUGUGAGGAAAGCAGUCCGAGGUUAGCAGGACUUCUGUGAGGGAGGAAAGGUGGGCUCUGGACACCGUGAUUGGCAAGUACAAGCCCUUUACACCAAGAGGCACCAAAGGCAAGCACCAUGGCUGGCUGUGCAGACAGGAAGAAGGUGACGGCAGCCGACUCUUUAUUUUCCCUGCAUGGCUCAUACAUUCCAGGCAGCCACAUCUACAGCCACGAGCAGCAGCUGCCUGGGGGCUUCCACGGUGACUUCCUUCUCAGCAGAUAAUCUGAUUUGAAGACCAGGGGUGGCCCCAACACAAGGGCACCCCCCCAGAGACCAGGGAGGGUCACAGCCAUUUCCUGCGAAGGAGAGCGUGCCAUAGAUCCCCGCUUAGGCGGCUCUUCCUGCCAACUCUGAAACUUAAGAGCCUUCAGUGCUGCCGGCGUCCUUUAGACAUGAAGCCAGGUGAAAAGUCGGGCUUGCGAACAACUAGGCAUGUGUCCAAAGGCUUGUGCUGGCAGUCAGCCCGCCACUAACCCUUGCUGGGAAGGCGAGACCUCCACCAUGCUUGUUAAAAAAUGGAAAAAGAAACUGUCACCUCCAAUAAAGAAGCAUGUCAAACUGACUGAAGACCUGGAGACACUGUUUUCCGGUGACUCUCUGGAAGAGGCCAGUGCCCUUAAGGGGCCUGAGGCUGUGUACAUUAAUGCCUUAGCCCGAGACGGUGUUGAGCUGAUCAAGGAAGCCUCAGCCUGCUGUGGCCACGCCAUGUCUUCUAUGCUGUGAAUUCCAGUUCCACGUCUCUUCCAACAUGGCCCUAGGAUACCAGACUGAUCUGGAAGCAUCUUUCUGGGCAAGUUGUGUGUUUACUGUGUGUUGGCUGGACUUGAUAUCUACAGGCCACCAAUAUGGCUUGCUCUUCAGGCCUCCCAGCGUCAAAAACAGUGCACAGUAGAGCUCACUGGUGUACCCAAGGGGAAGGGCCUGGGUAUGCAAGUAUGCAAACCCUGAACAUGCUACAACAGAAGGCAAUACCUCCUGUCAAUCCUAGCGAAAGCCCUGGAAGCACCCUGUUUCAAGAGGCCCCCUGAUCAAGUGUAAGAGGAUGCAGGAGGAGCCUGAUAGGCAUUGGUUGUAUAUAUAGGUACAUUAGUCUUCACAUCCCAAUAGGACACAUGCUAGAGCAAAGUGGCCACUCAUUAGCCCACGCUACCCAGGAGCCCCCUGGCCUAUGUGUGCAGGCCAGAGUAAGGCCAUACCUUUCCUCUUCUCUGCACUGAUGUGUGUCAGGUUGAAGAAGGUCAGGAACUUCCUCUUCUCCUCAAAGUUAGGGCUGUUGUUCAUCUCGUCGGGGCUGUAGCGGGUGGACAGAGCCAGCCUGGGGGAAGGUGUCUGCCGCUUGCUCUGAACCGCAGGUGGAGAUGGGCUUCUCUCUCUCAGCAUCCGCCUCCGCUUCCGGCGCUUCUGUGCUACCAGCUCUUCCUUCUGCUGCUGGGUGGUCAAG